GUUAUAUGGUCAAGUGAAGAAGCGCAUACGGUGGAUGCCUUGGCAGUCAGAGGCGAUGAAAGACGUGGUAGCCUGCGAAAAGCUUCGGGGAGUCGGCAAACAGACUUUGAUCCGGAGAUCUCUGAAUGGGGGAACCCACCUAGGAUAACCUAGGUAUCUUGUACUGAAUCCAUAGGUGCAAGAGGCGAACCAGGGGAACUGAAACAUCUAAGUACCCUGAGGAAAAGAAAUCAACCGAGAUUCCCUUAGUAGUGGCGAGCGAACGGGGAUUAGCCCUUAAGCUUCAUUGAUUUUAGCGGAACGCUCUGGAAAGUGCGGCCAUAGUGGGUGAUAGCCCGUACGCGAAAGGAUCUUUGAAGUGAAAUCGAGUAGGACGGAGCACGAGAAACUUUGUCUGAACAUGGGGGGACCAUCCUCCAAGGCUAAAUACUACUGACUGACCGAUAGUGAACCAGUACCGUGAGGGAAAGGCGAAAAGAACCCCGGAGAGGGGAGUGAAAUAGAACCUGAAACCGUAUGCGUACAAGCAGUGGGAGCCUACUUGUUAGGUGACUGCGUACCUUUUGUAUAAUGGGUCAGCGACUUAUAUUCAGUGGCAAGCUUAACCGUAUAGGGUAGGCGUAGCGAAAGCGAGUCUUAAUAGGGCGUUUAGUCGCUGGGUAUAGACCCGAAACCGGGCGAUCUAUCCAUGAGCAGGUUGAAGGUUAGGUAACACUGACUGGAGGACCGAACCCACUCCCGUUGAAAAGGUAGGGGAUGACUUGUGGAUCGGAGUGAAAGGCUAAUCAAGCUCGGAGAUAGCUGGUUCUCCUCGAAAGCUAUUUAGGUAGCGCCUCAUGUAUCACUCUGGGGGGUAGAGCACUGUUUCGGCUAGGGGGUCAUCCCGACUUACCAAACCGAUGCAAACUCCGAAUACCCAGAAGUGCCGAGCAUGGGAGACACACGGCGGGUGCUAACGUCCGUCGUGAAAAGGGAAACAACCCAGACCGCCAGCUAAGGUCCCAAAGUUGUGGUUAAGUGGUAAACGAUGUGGGAAGGCUUAGACAGCUAGGAGGUUGGCUUAGAAGCAGCCAUCCUUUAAAGAAAGCGUAAUAGCUCACUAGUCGAGUCGGCCUGCGCGGAAGAUGUAACGGGGCUCAAACCACACACCGAAGCUGCGGGUGUCACGUAAGUGACGCGGUAGAGGAGCGUUCUGUAAGCCUGUGAAGGUGAGUUGAGAAGCUUGCUGGAGGUAUCAGAAGUGCGAAUGCUGACAUGAGUAACGACAAUGGGUGUGAAAAACACCCACGCCGAAAGACCAAGGGUUCCUGCGCAACGUUAAUCGACGCAGGGUUAGUCGGUUCCUAAGGCGAGGCUGAAAAGCGUAGUCGAUGGGAAACAGGUUAAUAUUCCUGUACUUCUGGUUACUGCGAUGGAGGGACGGAGAAGGCUAGGCCAGCUUGGCGUUGGUUGUCCAAGUUUAAGGUGGUAGGCUGAAAUCUUAGGUAAAUCCGGGGUUUCAAGGCCGAGAGCUGAUGACGAGUCGUCUUUUAGAUGACGAAGUGGUUGAUGCCAUGCUUCCAAGAAAAGCUUCUAAGCUUCAGGUAACCAGGAACCGUACCCCAAACCGACACAGGUGGUCGGGUAGAGAAUACCAAGGCGCUUGAGAGAACUCGGGUGAAGGAACUAGGCAAAAUGGCACCGUAACUUCGGGAGAAGGUGCGCCGGCUAGGGUGAAGGAUUUACUCCGUAAGCUCUGGCUGGUCGAAGAUACCAGGCCGCUGCGACUGUUUAUUAAAAACACAGCACUCUGCAAACACGAAAGUGGACGUAUAGGGUGUGACGCCUGCCCGGUGCCGGAAGGUUAAUUGAUGGGGUUAGCGCAAGCGAAGCUCUUGAUCGAAGCCCCGGUAAACGGCGGCCGUAACUAUAACGGUCCUAAGGUAGCGAAAUUCCUUGUCGGGUAAGUUCCGACCUGCACGAAUGGCGUAACGAUGGCGGCGCUGUCUCCACCCGAGACUCAGUGAAAUUGAAAUCGCUGUGAAGAUGCAGUGUAUCCGCGGCUAGACGGAAAGACCCCGUGAACCUUUACUGUAGCUUUGCACUGGACUUUGAGCCUGCUUGUGUAGGAUAGGUGGGAGGCUUUGAAGCGUGGACGCCAGUUCGCGUGGAGCCAUCCUUGAAAUACCACCCUGGCAUGCUUGAGGUUCUAACUCUGGUCCGUAAUCCGGAUCGAGGACAGUGUAUGGUGGGCAGUUUGACUGGGGCGGUCUCCUCCUAAAGAGUAACGGAGGAGUACGAAGGUGCGCUCAGACCGGUCGGAAAUCGGUCGCAGAGUAUAAAGGCAAAAGCGCGCUUGACUGCGAGACAGACACGUCGAGCAGGUACGAAAGUAGGUCUUAGUGAUCCGGUGGUUCUGUAUGGAAGGGCCAUCGCUCAACGGAUAAAAGGUACUCCGGGGAUAACAGGCUGAUACCGCCCAAGAGUUCAUAUCGACGGCGGUGUUUGGCACCUCGAUGUCGGCUCAUCACAUCCUGGGGCUGAAGCCGGUCCCAAGGGUAUGGCUGUUCGCCAUUUAAAGUGGUACGCGAGCUGGGUUUAGAACGUCGUGAGACAGUUCGGUCCCUAUCUGCCGUGGACGUUUGAGAUUUGAGAGGGGCUGCUCCUAGUACGAGAGGACCGGAGUGGACGAACCUCUGGUGUUCCGGUUGUCACGCCAGUGGCAUUGCCGGGUAGCUAUGUUCGGAAAAGAUAACCGCUGAAAGCAUCUAAGCGGGAAACUUGCCUCAAGAUGAGAUCUCACUGGGAACUUGAUUCCCCUGAAGGGCCGUCGAAGACUACGACGUUGAUAGGCUGGGUGUGUAAGCGUUGUGAGGCGUUGAGCUAACCAGUACUAAUUGCCCGUGAGGCUUGACCAUAUAACACCCAAACA
rnacentral:rRNA from 1 species